GCUGAUGGACGAAAGCGUAGGUAGCGAACAGGAUUAGAUACCCUGGUAGUCUACGCCGUAAACGAUGGUCACUAGCUGUCCGAGCUAAUUGAGGCUUGGGUGGUUAAGCGAAAGUGAUAAGUGACCCACCUGGGGAGUACGUUCGCAAGAAUGAAACUCAAAGGAAUUGACGGGGGCCCGCACAAGCGGUGGAGCAUGUGGUUUAAUUCGAUGAUACGCGAGGAACCUUACCAGGGCUUAAAUGUAGUCUGACGUAUCUGGAAACAGAUAUUUCUUCGGACAGAUUACAAGGUGCUGCAUGGUUGUCGUCAGCUCGUGCCGUGAGGUGUCAGGUUAAGUCCUAUAACGAGCGCAACCCCUGUGGUUAGUUGCCAGCGAGUAAUGUCGGGAACUCUAGCCAGACUGCCGGUGCAAACCGCGAGGAAGGUGGGGAUGACGUCAAAUCAUCACGGCCCUUACGUCCUGGGCCACACACGUGCUACAAUGGUAGGGACAGAGAGCAGCCACUUCGCGAGAAGGAGCGAAUCUACAAACCCUAUCACAGUUCGGAUCGCAGUCUGCAACUCGACUGCGUGAAGCUGGAAUCGCUAGUAAUCGCAUAUCAGCCAUGAUGCGGUGAAUACGUUCCCGGGCCUUGUACACACCGCCC
rnacentral:rRNA from 1 species